ensembl:lncRNA
UGAAAAAAUAAAAAACACAAGUAGCGAACAUGAAAAAAAUGAAAAAAUAAAAAACAAAAGUGGCGAACAUGAAAAAACUAAAAAAAUAAAAAACAAAAGUAGCGAGAACAAAAAAAAUGGAAAAACUACAAAGGUUAAAAAGGUUAAAAAAGUUAAAACUGUUAAGAAAAAAAAUAAAGCUUCUGUUAAAGACAAAAACGAAAGUGAAGAUAAAGCAGAAAUGAUCGAAAAAAAGAAAAAAGAUUUAUUUAUUAGCAAAAUAAAAAUAGAUAAAUAUGAUGAGACAGAUAAUAAAUUAACAAAAGAAAUAUUCAUUUAUAUUGAUGAUAAAAAGCAAGAAUUGAAAGACAGUUUACUAAAAAAAUAUUACUGUGCUGAUAAAAAAAUUCCUUUAUUUUUUAUUGAUAUAAAUAUACAUACUUGUAUAUUUAAUAUAUUUUUUAUUGCUUCAAUAGAAAAUAAAAUAAUAAAUAACAAAAUAGAUAAUUCAAUUAUUAAUGAAAAUGAUAUAUAUUUUUACAACGUUGUUAAUUCAAAAUGUUUAAAUACUCUUUCUUAUUUUUUAAGUGAAUUUUUUAAUGACCAUGAACUAGAAGACUUUGAAAAUUGUUGUGAAAUCAUACAAUUCACUUAUUUAUUUUUUUUUAUUUUAUUAACAGAUUAUUACACACUUGAUAAAUAUGUUAAAAACUAUUGUAUUGAAAAUUUUAAACAUUUGUUCAUGUAUAAAAAUUAUGUUUUUAAAAAAUAUAUAAAAUAUCAAAACGAGAGGAUUGUUAAAAAUGAUAUUUUAAUGGGUACUUAUAAUGAAAACACAUGUGAUCGUGUUAAAAACAUUGAUAAUCAUAGUACUAAACCUAAUUGGUACAAAACUAAAUACUCCGUUUUUGAAACAAAAAUAAUAAAAUCGUUUUUAAAUGAAAAUAAAAUCGAAUUUGAAAACAUGACAGUGUAUAUAAAUUUGAAUAAACAAAUGUCUGUUCGUUAUGUUUUAUCUUGUUUAAAAAAAACAAAAUCAUAUGAAUAUAUUAAUAAUAAAUUUUUUUUAGAAAUUUUUACUGUAUAUGCUUAUAUAAAUCCUGAAAAUUCUACGUCAUUAUAUGAUUGUUGUACUAAUGUAUCUUUGUUACCUUCUUUUAUGUUUCCUCUUCCGUCUGAUAAUAAUAUCAUACAUAAUACAGAUGUAGAACAUGUAUUGGUUAAUAAUAUUAGUACAUCACCUGUUUCUGUAACUAACAAAACAGAAAUAUUGUCUACAAAAACAAAUAUAUUAAAUGAUAAGUUUCAGUUUGUAUAUGAAAUUGAAAUGCCUAAUUAUAUUUACAAUGAUGAUUAUACAGAAAUAUAUGUUAUCGAAGCUAGUACGAAAAAAGAAAAGUGCAACAAUUUUUAUAUGUCUUUUGAACUAUCACAAAUAAAUAAAAUAAAUAAAAAAAAAAAUAUAUAUGAUGAUGUAUAUGGUGACGUAUAUGAUGACAUAUAUGAUGGUGAUAAAGCAAAAAUAAUAAAUAAAUAUGAUAAAGAAGUAAAUAAUGAUAAGGUGAUACAUAUUAUGGAUAAAGAAACUGUUACUAACACAAAUAAUAAAAUUAAUUUUUUUAAAAUGAAAAGUGAAAAAUAUUCAUUAAACGAUAAAAAUUAUUUAAAAAUUUAUAGUAAUAUGAUAGGUAACUUUUACAUUUAUUUGAAUACUAUAAACAACAUACCUUACAUAAACUGGGAUCUUAAAUAUAAUGAAAAUUAUUUCACUAUAAAAAUACAAAGUAGAAUAAAAAAAGAAUUUAUUUUUCAAAUAAA